rnacentral:ncRNA from 1 species
AAAAAGUUUAAUUUUAGCUUAAAAUUUAACUAUUUUAUUUAUUUAUAUGUAAUUUGUUAUGAUUUAAAAAGGUCUUAAAAAGAUAAUUUAUAAUGCAGUAUGUAGAAUUAAGAAUUAAUGGAAUUUAGACUUAGAAAUUAUAGGAGUGCAGACUUAAUUUGUGCCAGCAGUUGCGGUUAUACAAAUUGUGCAAGUUAAAUUUAUUUAAUUUAAUUAAAUGUUAAAUGGUAUAUAGUUUAAUUUUAAAUUUUUUAGGUGAAAUUUUAAGUUUAAUUUUUCUAUUUGGAUGUUUUUGAAGUUAAGAAAUUUCUUUUUAGACUAGGAUUAGAUACCCUAUUAUUGGAAAAGUUAUAUAAAAGUUAAAAUUAUUAAUAGUUAUGAUCUUUAAAAUUUAAAAAUUUGGCGGUAUUUUAGUCUAUUCAGAGGAACCUGUUUCAUAAUUGAUAAUCCACGAUUUAUAUUACUUUAAAUUUUAGCUUGUAUAUCGCCGUGGUUAGAAUAUUUUAGUAGAAUAAUAAUAUUCAAGCGAUUAAAUUAAAUAAGAGUUCAGGUCAAGGUGCAGUUUAUUUUAUAGAAGAAAUGGGUUACAAUGUAUUUAUAGUUAGUAUUACGUAUUUUAAAAUUCUAAUUAAAGUGGAUUUGAUAGUAAUUUUUUAAAUUUAUUUAAAAUGAUUAUGCUCUAAAAUAUGCACAUAUCGCCCGUCACUUUCAUUUAAAAUGAAAUAAGUCGUAACAGAGUAGGCCUAUUGGAAAAUGGGCCUGGAAUGUA